UACAGAGGUCUCAACCGUUGUUCGGAUUCAUUGGGCGUAAAGAGUUCGUAGGCGGCGCAGAAAGUAGGGUGUGAAAGCCCUCGGCUCAACCGAGGAAUUGCGCUCUAAACUACUGUGCUUGAGGAAUCUAGAGGUGAGCGGAACUGAUGGUGGAGCGGUGAAAUGCGUUGAUAUCAUCAGGAACACCGGAGGCGAAGGCGGCUCACUGGGGAUUUUCUGACGCUGAGGAACGAAAGCCAGGGGAGCGAACGGG
rnacentral:rRNA from 1 species